rnacentral:rRNA from 1 species
GGACAAAGUGACAGGUGGUGCAUGGUUGUCGUCAGCUCGUGUCGUGAGAUGUUGGGUUAAGUCCCGCAACGAGCGCAACCCUUAAGCUUAGUUGCCAGCAUUAAGUUGGGCACUCUAAGUUGACUGCCGGUGACAAACCGGAGGAAGGUGGGGAUGACGUCAAAUCAUCAUGCCCCUUAUGAUUUGGGCUACACACGUGCUACAAUGGACAAUACAAAGGGCAGCUAAACCGCGAGGUCAUGCAAAUCCCAUAAAGUUGUUCUCAGUUCGGAUUGUAGUCUGCAACUCGACUACAUGAAGCUGGAAUCGCUAGUAAUCGUAGAUCAGCAUGCUACGGUGAAUACGUUCCCGGGUCUUGUACACACCGCCCGUCACACCACGAGAGUCUGUAACACCCGAAGCCGGUGGAGUAACCAUUUAUGGAGCUAGCCGUCGAAGGUGGGACAAAUGAUUGGGGUGAAGUCGUAACAAGGUAGCCGUAUCGGAAGGUGCGGCUGGAUCACCUC